rnacentral:rRNA from 1 species
UGGGGGAUAACGUUCGGAAACGGACGCUAAUACCGCAUACGUCCUACGGGAGAAAGCAGGGGACCUUCGGGCCUUGCGCUAUCAGAUGAGCCUAGGUCGGAUUAGCUAGUUGGUGGGGUAAUGGCUCACCAAGGCGACGAUCCGUAACUGGUCUGAGAGGAUGAUCAGUCACACUGGAACUGAGACACGGUCCAGACUCCUACGGGAGGCAGCAGUGGGGAAUAUUGGACAAUGGGCGAAAGCCUGAUCCAGCCAUGCCGCGUGUGUGAAGAAGGUCUUCGGAUUGUAAAGCACUUUAAGUUGGGAGGAAGGGUUGUAGAUUAAUACUYUGCAAUUUUGACKUUACCGACAGAAUAAGCACCGGCUAACUCUGUGCCAGCAGCCGCGGUAAUAC